GAUGAACGCUAGCGGCAGGCCUAAUACAUGCAAGUCGAACGGGAUUUGGGAGCUUGCUCCUGAUGAGAGUGGCGCACGGGUGCGUAACACGUAUGUAACCUACCUUAAUCUGGGGGAUAGCCUCUCGAAAGAGAGAUUAACACCGCAUAACAUCACAUCAUAGCAUUUUGGAGUGAUCAAAUAUUUAUAGGAUUAAGAUGGGCAUGCGGAACAUUAGCUAGUUGGUAAGUAAUGGCUUACCAAGGCUACGAUGUUUAGGGGA
rnacentral:rRNA from 1 species